CCACUAUGAGUAAAGGGAUUUUACAGCUUUUGCACUGUGCAACCUGUACAAGAAUGUAAACAUAACCAUGGCUCCGAUUCUGAGAUAAUAAUACCUUAUCUGUAUUUCGUUUUGUCUUACUGACCUAUCUUUCCUGAAAUUCAAUUUUUCGUGACAAUCUUAUCUUCUAGUUCUCUCGUACAUGAAUGAGCAUCAGAAGGAAAUUAUUCCUCGCUGUUUAGUGAACUCCGGUCAGUGAUCUCCAUGUUUAUGUGUAUGCCCUAGAAGGUACAGCCUCUGAAAGUGUUCUGAUGAAUUUUUAAGAUGGAAAGCGAAAAAGUUGAAAAAGAACUGUGCAGUAAUCUUCUGAAAUGGCUUCAGACAUUUCAGUUGAGCGCCCCGCACAGCAAACUGCAUGAGAUAACUGAUGGUGUGGCCAUUGCGCAAGCAUUGCAUCAAAUGUAUGUAUUUAUUCACUCUAAUUUUUGCUUUUCAGAAGCAUUUUAAUAUAACAUAGUAUGCUCUCUUGAUUUUCCUCACGUGCAGCAUUUUUUUUGCAGCACAAAGGUAGCCUGGUUAUGCUAUGGUUAGCCUAUCUUACGUGGUUAUGAGAUACAGAGUUUCAAAAAUUGUGAUUUACAUGGGAAUUAAUGGGUCAGAUGUGCAGUUUUCCCCUGAUAUCUUGAAAAGACUAAAAUGGAGUCAGGUACUUAUUGGCUCUGGGGUACUGAUAUUUAAAGAUCAAUUAUAAUAGAGUUUUAUUCUCUUAUUAAAUGCUCUUCAAAAAUGGCCCAAUUUUUCUUACUUGUCAUUCCAUGCCUCCAAAAAAUCUUACUCUUAAAUUCUAAUCCACCAUUCAGUUCGCAAGUUACAUGUAAUUAUCUAUCUGUUCUAAACUCUAAGGCUAAUCGUUUUAGUCAUCACCGACUACUGAACUAAUUUUUAUUUUAUUUUUCCUAUGCAAUGAGAAUUCAUGAGCUGUCUGUGUGCCAGGAUCCUUACCUUUCUCAAAAUUAUCAAAGUGUACCGUAUUGGUGCAAUUUCUCCUGAAGAGUGUGUAAUCCCCAAGUUGACUCAAAACCAAGCCAACUGAGCUGUCAUAAUCAUUACUCUCUCGCUCCCCUAGGGUAGAGGAAGUAUUGUCAUCCUGUUUCUUUUCUCUUACUCUGUUGCUUAAGAUUUGUAAUCGCAUUUGUUGUAAUGCUUACCAUCCUUAUUUCAGAGCCCUGAGUGGUUUGAUGAUGCCUGGCUUUCAAAAAUCAAAGUUGACGUUGGCAGUAAUUGGCGACUGAAGGUAAUACCUGGUUCUUUUUUUGCAAUGGGCAACUCGACUGGGGUUGCAAAGAAUAAGGAAAAACACUAAGAAACCACCUUGUUACGAAGAAU
rnacentral:lncRNA from 1 species